AUUGAACGCUGGCGGCAUGCCUUACACAUGCAAGUCGAACGGCAGCACGGGAGCAAUCCUGGUGCGAGUGGCGAACGGGUGAGUAAAGUAUCGGAACGUGCCCAGUCGUGGGGGAUAACGUAGCGAAAGUUACGCUAAUACCGCAUACGAUCUAUGGAUGAAAGCGGGGGAUCGCAAGACCUCGCGCGAUUGGAGCGGCCGAUAUCAGAUUAGGUAGUUGGUGGGGUAAAGGCUCACCAAGCCGACGAUCUGUAGCUGGUCGGAGAGGACGACCAGCCAGACUGGGGCGGAGACACGGCCCGGACUCCUAGGGGAGGCAGCAGUGGGGAAUGUUGGACAAUGGGCGCAAGCCUGCUCCAGCCAUGCCGCGUGCAGGAUGAAGUCCUUCGGGUUGUAAACUGCCUUUGUACGGAACGAAAAGGUUUGACUUAAUACGUUGGACUCAUGACGGUACCGUAAGAAUAAGCACCGGCUAACUACGUGCCAGCCGCCGCGGUAA
rnacentral:rRNA from 1 species